rnacentral:tRNA from 1 species
CCAAAGAAGUAGCGAAAAGCAUCAGGCACUUUUUGCUUAGAAACAUGUGUUCCCGAAACUGCAACUGCAACGACUGCAGGCGUGG